ensembl:lncRNA
GGUCUGGCAGCAUGCCUGCAAGUUGACAUUCAACAAAUUUGCUCUUUAGCACUGGACAGUUUAUUGAUUCCUCGAUGAAGCAAUCAAACAUCAAUUAAUUGUUACCUUUAGCGGUGUCAUAGAUUCCGAAGUAGGCUGCUCUGUAGAUAAUGAUGCCUUGGACAGACACGUUGAAGCCAAGGUAGAGCCCCUUCAAGCCAUCUGACUUGAAGAUCUUGGUAAGGCAGUUGCCCAAGCCGGUAAACUCUCUCUCGGCAGUACCUUUGCCGAUAUCGGCAGCCAACCGGGUCCUAGCGAAGUCCAGUGGGUACACGAAACAGAGUGACGUAGCACCGGCGGCACCACCUGAUGCCAGGUUUCCAGCGAAGUAGCGCCAGAACUGGGUGUGCUUAUCGACACCGCCAAGGAAGAUCUUCUUGUACUUGUCUUUGAAGGCGAAGUUGAGAGCCUGAGUCGGGAAGUAUCGGAUCACGUUGGCCAAGUUUCCACGCCAGAAACUGAGGAAGCCCUGCUCCUUGGGAAUCCUCACCACGCAGUCUAUGAUGCCUUUGUACUGCAUAUCAACUGUGAUCUGUUUGCUGGCAUGCUGGACCUGGAGGAGGACCAAUUGGUGUUAGUUCACUCCAAGUGAAAUUUAUUCUCCUCAGAUACAUGCGUCUCUGCUGUCUGAUCUUAACAAAUCUCUGGCCUUUCACUACAUCUUUUGAUUCCAAACCAGAUUUCUACGUCUGUCGGGUUGGAUCAGUUACCUAAUUAGUUGGAUUGGAUGUGUCGGAGCAGGAAAACCAGACUCUGACACCAGGUUCAUGGGGGAAUACUUAGUGGUAAAAUUCUCAGUUCUGUGCUAGAAGGUGGCACAGAUGGCACAGUAUGACUAGAAGGUUGUGAGUUCAGAACCGUGGUUGGACCCUUGAGAAAGGGUAUUAACCUUCAGCUAUAUCCUCAAAUAUGUGGCUUUUGACAUGUUACAUUCUUGACCUGCCAUGGACAGUUGAGUUCCAUGGUUUCCAUCAUCUUUUAAUCUCUCAGUUGUUCAUUCGACUUGGCUCCAGUAUAGAUAUUUCACCUUUCUUCCGGGAAAGAUUGGUCUGACCAUGUGCACCAGCCGCAUUGAGGAUUACACCCAUGUGAGGUGGUGUGAGUAUUGGGUUGCAAACCCCAGGCUAUAUUUAGCACUAAACUCACGCCAAGUAUCGUCACUUUAUGCAACCACGUUUUUACCAACCCCUAUGUCCACGCCGUGCUUCUUAAUAACUCAGUCACCAGAAGUUGAAAUUGGAUUAACAUGAUCAGGUAAUUGUCCACUAAUAUCAGCCUAAACUUCCUGCAAUGUCAAAGGACAGUGAACCUUUUGCAGAAGACUUGCGCAAAAAAAAAAAAAAAGCCUUGCAGCGAACACCAUCUCCGACAGUCCCAACUGAUGAUACCAUGAAAAAGAAGUGCUAUAAGUAAUUAGGUAUACCAAAGACUAGAGAGAAUCCGCAAGGUGAAAACCAAGGUUGGUGGAAAGAUCCAGGCCAGGGGUCACGGCCCCAAGGGGCGAGACAAAUUCCAGGAACGAUAAGAAAGAAGGGUACUACGACGUGCACACUUUAAGAGUCUGAAGAAGUAACCACUCUGGCAAAUAUAGAUGAAUGAACUUAUCAAGUGUAUUGAAUUAUGUGUAAUUUGUAGGCUCAUAAGUUACAGUAAAAAAAAAAAGUCACUCUUUGGAUAGUAAUCAGUUCAUUCCAGCUUUGUAAAAGGGUUCUGAAAGGGAAGCCCUCUGUUACCGGGUUCUAUGCAGAAUUUUAAGGGUUCCUCCACCUGGAUUAACCCUUCAGAAGAACCCUUUAGACUGGUGGAUGGAUUUAGUUUUUUCGCCCAACAUCUUUUUGGAUCCAAAUAAAUAUUACGCCUGUCAAUUAAUAAUUAAAUUGAUUACAUCAUAUCGUAAUAUUAAAUAAUGAUUAAAAAAACGUUGUUCAUUUCGAAGGUAAUUGGGAUAAAUUUGCGCGCGCGCACACACUGAGUUACCUGCAGGAGCAGUUUGACCCUCUCGAUGGGCGCGACGGCUGUUUUGGAGAUAGCCGCAGCCACUCCACCUGCCAGGAAAUCCUUCAAAAAGCUGAUGACCGCCUCAGACAUGGUGCCGAUGGUGAGUCUCAGAUAGAGAGAACAUGUACAGCUCAACAGUGAGAGAUGGGAUAGAUUAUAAGGUACGCUUUUAUCAUACGCUGGUUUUCUCCCUCCGCUAAACAAACUAGUGUUCUCUCAGUUCGUAUACUUAUGCACUAUUCUAGACCAUUAUUGAAUACUAAUCUCUUAUUACGCUAUUUAAAAAACCUCUCAUGUCACCUUCAAACCUACCGAAAGGUCUGAUUAGAGUACCAGCCUUCAGGAUUUUCUAGGUUAGUAAACAUUUUUGAGCCUAAUGUCAGAGAUUUUCGAUUGAGACCAAAAUCACGACAACGGUGGAACGUUUGAAGAGCGACAGAGCUCGUCAGAGUGUUUAAUAUUUUUGCGUGUCAAAUCAAUGCACGUUUUAUAGAAACGUGACGCACAAGGUAGGUAGCGAGUGUGUGAACAAUGACUACGUUUACAUGGACAGCAUUAAUCUAAUUAUUGACCUUAAUCUGAGUAAGAUAAUAAUGUGAUUAAGGUGUUUACAUGAGUCGCUUUUAGAAUACUCCUGUCAUGUUCCCGUUUUACAUGUCAUAGACCAUAAUUAGAUUAACAGCACACGUCAUUACGUCACCGCGCCACGCCGUCCGACGUCCCUGCAGAAUUUCACGUGUCAACAUACAGUUCGUCUUUGUUAUGAAACCGUAUACAGUUUUGGGUGUUUUUAUUUAAUUUUUUACGGACGCUUUAAGUGCAGUUAAUUAUUUGUCAUGCCGUACGUGCAAACAGACGACUGCUUGAAGCCAAUGGGUGUGUCACAAAUCGCGUAGUUAACGUCUAUAUAGUAUCCGAGACACAUGUAUUUUUCCCCACUACAGGCCUAUAGUAGGAAAGUAUGCGAUUUGGGACGCAGCCGAACUCUCUUGUUCGCCGUAAAACAGUUGCGCUGCCGUGUGUGAUCGUGUCCUGUCGCACAAUGCGGUGAAAACUCCCACAUGACGCUCAUAAUGUGAUUAAGGUCUGUACAUGUCUGUAAUACACGUCCAUAAUGCGACUAAAACAGGAGUACUCCACCUGUCUUAAUUAGAUUAUUGCUUACUUCGAUUAUGACCUUAAUUAGAUUAAGGUAAAUAAAAAUUGCUGUUUACAUGCUAGUUUCUUAUUUAGAGUAUGGACUUAAUCGGAUUAAGAGGGGAUUAUUGUUGUCCAUGUAAACGCAGCUAAUGUCGCUUGUUGCAUUGCCGCUGAAUCAGCGCACCCCGGCCUGGUGCGAUUAAAUGGAAAAGUUUUCACUAGCCUUCGAUUAUGUGGAUCGUUAAGUUUAGUCGUUACGAUAGAAACGCUAAUGUAUUCGAAUAGAAAGCUGUGAUUUGAAUUUGAGACGGGAGUACUUUCAAAGCUGCUGUUAUUGAAAACCAAUGGGAAUGGAGAAUUCAACAGCGCUCUGGUGUAAUACAGUGUAAUGAAUGCUGUGAUGUACCGUAUAUACUGUAGUAACAUGCUGUAGGUGUAGGUGGCGCCGCAUCAGCGUGAACUUUCACUUCCCCGUCACUGACCAAACAAACAGAGAAGGAAAUCUUUCUCACUUCAUGAAGCUUCCUUCCUGCCAACAAAUGACACACGACCAUGGAGACCUCGGGCUCCCGACUCUUGUACUCAAACUGACUCGAGCUGUAACAGGCUUACGUCCCAUAGUCCUCCUGUGCCCCGGGUCAGCGGGUGCACACACAUCUCAUAAACGCCCGAUUCACGCUUUAUGCAGGAUGUCCACAGCUUAACGGAUUUGGGGAUGGCGAAAAAACCCCCAAAAAAUCCCCACGGGCAAACAGAGUCCAGCGUCUCCAGGAGCGGGAUGAGUCGCUGUAGCAACGGUUGCUGGGACCUGCUGUAAAGCUUCAGUCUCAUAAAGUCACUUUAUUCAGACUCGGGCUAGAACAGGAUGAUAAUCUCACGAGUUUCAGUAUCUCAGUACGUGUCGGCUGCAUUCUUUUUUCUUUUCUUUUUUUUGUUUGUAUAAUUUUCUUAAAGAAAACGACAUAAAAAGGCAUUUAAGACUGAUAAGUUGAUUGCUAAGAUGAUUUUUUUUUAUUGACCAUUUUCUCAGAUGUUUUGUGUUUUUUUUUUAAAAGCAUAAACAUUACCUUAAAGUGAUGUACCUGUAACACACAGGUACGCUUGCGUCCUGCAUAAAAUAAGCUCAAUUUGUUUUCUUAAAUAGUGCGUUUUUGCUGCAAAAGACUGGUUUCAAAAUAAUUGGUACACUUCAGUAUUGUUUAGGGUGUUUACCACAGGCUCAUGCCAGAAAAUACUAACAAAAUGAAAAGACUGUAAAAGAUAAAUGUUUGUUGGAAUUAGGGUUAAUAUUUUUGUUCAGUUUGAGUGGAAAAUGUAAGUCAUUGUGUAUAUUAAUAAUAAUAAUUAUUAUUAUAUUAUUAGUGUUAUCAUCUUCUCUUUCUUGGUUCCUUUUUUCUUUCUUUCCGUCUACAGUUUCCACCAUUUUGUGUGUACAGGAACGUUCGUUAACACGUUUCAGAAGUAUUUAAAGGUGCUGUAGCUCCUCAGCACCUCUCUAUUGCACGAGAGGUCAAAGGUCGGAGUCUGCUGAGGCCCCUCGGUUCUUUAAUUAAACCUUCAGUGUGUGUAUGAAGCUCUGAGGUUAAAGCAGUUGCUCAUUAAAGCCUCAUGUCUCUCUGCACUCUGUGUGUGUGAAGAGCUCGAAGCGCUUCUGUUCCCAAAGUGAAUUCAGUCCUUAAUAGCAGGGCAAGUGGGGACCACCUGAUCAUUUAACUGUGUGUGUGUGUGUGUGUGUGUGUGUGCGCGCAGGGACAUUGAGAAACUCAAUAGGGGAAUCAUUAGUUAAGAGUAGUGCACUCGUGUAAAGCAGGCACUAUCAUGCAGAAAUCUCAGAAAGAACUCAGAAACAACAUAACACAAUAUAAAGUUUAUGAGAAAUUUCCAUGAUUCCUAAUUAAUGCUAAGUGUAAUUACAGUGUAAUAUAAUUCAUAAACAGCCUUUCUGUAGUAUUUUAUCAACACAUCUGAGGUAAAAGUUGAUAUUCUUAACAGUUUUGUUUAAGGUUCACGAUGGCUGUACCUCUGCAUUCCCUGUAAACGGAUUCAUGCUAGCUGAAACGUGAUUAGCCUGCAGUCAAAAGUUAUAAAUAGUCAAGAACUUUUCAUUCAUAUAAGUGAAGUUUGGGUAUCACAAUGCAUCAUGUUAUUUAUUAUUAUUAUUAUAAAUAGAAAUCCUCACUCUAGAGAAAGUCUGGUUAGCAGUCAACGCUAGGUGUAAUUGCCGUGUAAUAUCAACCAAACGGAGUCUUUUCUUAGUAUUUUAUCAACAGAUCUGAGGUAAAUGUUGAUAUUUUUGACAGUUUUGUAUAGUUCCCCUGAUCGCUAUACUUUUACAUUACCCAUAAACAGCUUUAUGCUAGCUAAAACUUGAGUAGCCUGCAGUUAUUUGCUAGGUUAUGCCCACAUAUUGUGUCUAUACUGUAUGUCCCAAUAGCCUAGCAGCAGUGCUCUAACAACUUUUGCUAGUUUUCUCUCAGUAUCUCAAUUUAUCUCAGUUUAUGUCAGGUGCUUAUACAGGUGUGUAUGUGGAUAGCGUUUAAAAGGAGCAUCAGCCGUUUGGAUAACACACAUUUGUAAAGUUUUAUUCUUGUUCUAGGUUUAGUGAUUAAUAUGUUACACACCUGAUUUCUUUACACAGUCCUGUCAGCCUGUGGUCACACUCUCGGUCAGUCUAUUAGAGCUCAAAUAUGUGCGCACAGGUUAUUCAUAACGUUUGAUAAAUCAAUCGGUCAUUCUCUGUGGUUCCUGGACCGAGUGAAUGUUGCAGUAUGUGUGUGUGUGUGUGUGUGUGUGUGUGUGUAUGUGUGUGUGUGUGUGUGUGUGUGUAAUAAAGAGACUUUAAUCCUACGAUUGAGAGAUAUGUGACUGAAAGGUUUGGUCAGUGUGUGUCCAGCCCUUGGCUGAAGGGGUAAUUCGACCUCUUGACCUAAAGGGUCAAUGAACGGCGUAUGCUGAUGGUCUGCUUAUCUGACCAGCUCGCCGACCUCCCGCUGACCCCUCAGUGACCUCUCGAACCCUCUCCGCAGGUUUGGACUAGAGAUUUCCGACAACGAGUUUGAACAGCUGGUGGAAAGACUUUACGUUGUAACUUUUCGGAAAUGUGUAGACGUUUUUAUUGGUUGCCGUCAACACGAGGUACGAGCUCAAGCUCUCGCGCCGUCCUCUAACGAGGAUUUUAGUAUGAAAAAAUAACGUGAUUUAAAUGCUGUCCAGUUUCUCAACUAUUGUUCUGUAAUUCUGCGGAGAGUCGUACGACGAUAAUGCAUGGCGAACACAGGAGCGUACAAAGAAUAUUGUCAAUAUCACGCACUAGCAUUUGAAUGAAAUAUAAAUAAUAACAGCUGUGAUAACAGUUUUUGCACAAACUGAAACUAUUUCGAUAGAUUUUAGUUUCAUACAGCUUCGUCACAGUUUUAAUGUAUAAUGCAGGCUAUUACUGGAUAAUAAUUUUGGAACUGAAAU